UUAGGAAACGCAACAUUAAGUAAUUAGAAAUUUGGUUAUGCAAUGUGUACUAAACGGCUUGUAACUUAAAAGGAGCUUAACGUCGAACAUUGUGAGUCUCCAAAAAACAUAGUUUUUUUAGCAAAGCAGUAAAUAUUUGACGUUAAAAUACUUGACAGAUAAUAUUAACAUCAAAUGAAUCUUAUCAUUUCUAAAAGCUUUGCAGUAGUUGCUUUGCAUUCCCUGAAUUUCGUUUUACAUUCACUGCGCUUUCUUAAAAUAUGGU